rnacentral:rRNA from 1 species
AUACGGAGGGUGCAAGCGUUAUCCGGAAUCAUCGGGUUUAAAGGGUCCGUAGGCGGGCUAAUAAGUCAGGGGUGAAAUCCCACAGCUUAACUGUGGAACUGCCCUUGAUACUGUUGGUCUUGAGUUACAGUGAAGUGGUUAGAAUGUGUAGUGUAGCGGUGAAAUGCAUAGAGAUUACACAGAAUACCGAUUGCGAAGGCAGAUCACUAACUGUAUACUGACGCUAAUGGACGAAAGCGUGGGGAGCGAACAGGAUUAGAAACCCUAGUAGUCC